rnacentral:rRNA from 1 species
GACGGACGCUGGCGGCGUGCUUAACACAUGCGAGUCGAACGGAAAGGCCCUGCUUUUGUGGGGUGCUCGAGUGGCGAACGGGUGAGUAACACGUGAGUAACCUGCCCUUGACUUUGGGAUAACUUCAGGAAACUGGGGCUAAUACCGGAUAGGAGCUCCUGCUGCAUGGUGGGGGUUGGAAAGUUUCGGCGGUUGGGGAUGGACUCGGGGCUUAUCAGCUUGUUGGUGGGGUAGUGGCUUACCAAGGCUUUGACGGGUAGCCGGCCUGAGAGGGUGACCGGCCACAUUGGGACUGGGAUACGGGCCAGACUUCUAAGGGAGGGAGCAGGGGGGAAUAUUGGACAAUGGGGGGAAGGCCGAAGGAGGAAAGCCGCGGGCGGGAAGAAGGGCCUUGGGGUGUAAAACCGUUUUGCCUUGGGAGAAGGGGGAGUGACGGGAAAGGGUAAAAAAGCAACGGGUAAACUCGUG